AGGGUUUGAUCAUGGCUCAGAGUGAACGCUGGCGGUAGGCCUAACACAUGCAAGUCGAACGGCAGCACAGAGGAGCUUGCUCCUUGGGUGGCGAGUGGCGGACGGGUGAGGAAUACAUCGGAAUCUACUCUGUCGUGGGGGAUAACGUAGGGAAACUUACGCUAAUACCGCAUACGACCUACGGGUGAAAGCAGGGGAUCUUCGGACCUUGCGCGAUUGAAUGAGCCGAUGUCGGAUUAGCUAGUUGGCGGGGUAAAGGCCCACCAAGGCGACGAUCCGUAGCUGGUCUGAGAGGAUGAUCAGCCACACUGGAACUGAGACACGGUCCAGACUCCUACGGGAGGCAGCAGUGGGGAAUAUUGGACAAUGGGCGCAAGCCUGAUCCAGCCAUACCGCGUGGGUGAAGAAGGCCUUCGGGUUGUAAAGCCCUUUUGUUGGGAAAGAAAUCCAGCCGGCUAAUACCUGGUUGGGAUGACGGUACCCAAAGAAUAAGCACCGGCUAACUUCGUGCCAGCAGCCGCGGUAAUACGAAGGGUGCAAGCGUUACUCGGAAUUACUGGGCGUAAAGCGUGCGUAGGUGGUUAUUUAAGUCCGUUGUGAAAGCCCUGGGCUCAACCUGGGAACUGCAGUGGAUACUGGAUGACUAGAAUGUGGUAGAGGGUAGCGGAAUUCCUGGUGUAGCAGUGAAAUGCGUAGAGAUCAGGAGGAACAUCCAUGGCGAAGGCAGCUACCUGCACCAACAUUGACACUGAGGCACGAAAGCGUGGGGAGCAAACAGGAUUAGAUACCCUGCUAGUCCACGCCCUACACGAUGCGAACUGGAUGUUGGGUGCAAUUUGGCACGCAGUAUCGAAGCUAACGCGUUAAGUUCGCCGCCU
rnacentral:rRNA from 1 species